UACGUAGGUGGCAAGCGUUGUCCGGAAUUAUUGGGCGUAAAGCGCGCGCAGGCGGUCCUUUAAGUCUGAUGUGAAAGCCCACGGCUCAACCGUGGAGGGUCAUUGGAAACUGGGGGACUUGAGUGCAGAAGAGGAGAGUGGAAUUCCACGUGUAGCGGUGAAAUGCGUAGAGAUGUGGAGGAACACCAGUGGCGAAGGCGACUCUCUGGUCUGUAACUGACGCCGAGGCGCGAAAGCGUGGGGAGCAAACAGG
rnacentral:rRNA from 1 species